GCGGUUUGGCACCUCGAUGUCGACUCAUCGCAUCCUGGGGCUGAAGUAGGUCCCAAGGGUUCGGCUGUUCGCCGAUUAAAGCGGUACGAGAGUUGGGUUCAGAACGUCGUGAGACAGUUCGGUCCCUAUCUGUUGUGGGCGGAGGAGACUUGAGGGGAGCUGUCCUUAGUACGAGAGGACCGGGAUGGACAGACCUCUAGUGUUCCGGUUGUCAUGCCAAUGGCAAUGCCGGGUAGCUAUGUCAGGAAGGGAUAAACGCUGAAGGCAUCUAAGUGUGAAGCCCACCCCAAGAUUAGGUCUCCCGUGGAGUAAUCCACCUAAAGGUCUGUGGUAGACCACCACUUUGAUAGGCUGGAAGUGUAAGUGCAGUAAUGCAUUCAGCUGACCAGUACUAAUAGGCCGUGAGGCUUGACCCU
rnacentral:rRNA from 1 species